CUCACAUGUGUACGCAUUCGGCAUUGGGAUUCUCACUUUUGCUCCUGAUUCUUUGCUCCUGUGAUGUCCCUUGGCUGGGAUGGCCAGCAGUGCCGCUCCCUGCCUUGUUCUGAGGGGGUGUCCUGUAUGAGUCACUGCUGUUUCACUCAAGUUCCUGAGACAGCUCAGGGAGGGCUUCUGUCAAACAGACAAGUUUUGCCUGAAGAAGCUGUGCCCUGUUUCCCUGUCACUUUCCUACCUUACUAAGGUGUUACUUCUUUCUUCUAAAGUCAGUGUCUAAGAUAAACCCCAAACCCCAGGCUCCACAAGCAGAUGAGUAGACAGACAGAUGGACAGAAGAGCAGAGGAGCAGAAGAGUGGCGCGCCAGAGAAGGAGAGAAGAGGAGGAACAUCUGAAUGUCGAGAGGAUUUUGGCUUGGGACGGUCAGUGAGGAGAUUGGCCAUGGGACAGCUGAACUCCAGGGGAAGAUCAUCUUCCCACUCCAUCCCCUUUCCAGCCCUCAUCCAUCCCACUGAGUGCCACCUCCGUCACCCAAUAAAAUCUUUGCAUUCACCAUC